rnacentral:rRNA from 1 species
UACGAAGGGGGCUAGCGUUGCUCGGAAUCACUGGGCGUAAAGGGCGCGUAGGCGGCCAUUCAAGUCAGGGGUGAAAGCCUGUGGCUCAACCACAGAAUUGCCUUUGAUACUGUUUGGCUAGAGACCGGAAGAGGUAAGUGGAACUGCGAGUGUAGAGGUGAAAUGCGUAGAGAUCAGGAAGAACAUCGGUGGCGAAGGCGCUCUGCUGGACCAUAACUGACACUCAGGGACGAAAGCUAGGGGAGCGAAUGGG